rnacentral:rRNA from 1 species
AACGAACGCUGGCGGCAGGCCUAACACAUGCAAGUCGAACGUGAAGCUACCUUCGGGUAGUGGAAAGUGGCGCACGGGUGAGUAACGCGUGGGAAUCUACCUCUUGGUUCGGGAUAACCCUUGGAAACGAGUGCUAAUACCGGAUAAGCCCUUCGGGGGAAAGAUAUAUUGCCGAGAGAUGAGCCCGCGUUCAAUUAGGUAGUUGGUAGGGUAAUGGCCUACCAAGCCUACGAUUGAUAGCUGGUCUGAGAGGAUGACCAGCCACACUGGGACUGAGACACGGCCCAGACUCCUACGGGAGGCAGCAGUGGGGAAUAUUGGACAAUGGAGGCAACUCUGAUCCAGCCAUGCCGCGUGAGUGAUGAAGGCCUUAGGGUUGUAAAGCUCUUUCAGAUGUGACGAUGAUGACGGUAACAUCAGAAGAAGCCCCGGCUAACUUCGU